rnacentral:rRNA from 1 species
GGCGAACGCUGGCGGCGUGCCUAAUACAUGCAAGUAGAACGCUGAAGCGAGGAGCUUACUCUUCUUGGAUGAGUUGCGAACGGGUGAGUAACGCGUAGGUAACCUGCCUUGUAGCGGGGGAUAACUAUUGGAAACGAUAGCUAAUACCGCAUAACAAUGGAUGACACAUGUCAUUUAUUUGAAAGGGGCAAUUGCUCCACUACAAGAUGGACCUGGGGUGUAUUAGCUAGUAGGUGAGGUAAUGGCUCACCUAGGCGAAGGAACAUAGCCGACCCGAGGGGGGGAGCGGCCAACACUGGAACUGGGAAAGGGCCCGACUCCUUAGGGAAGCAGCAGUAGGGAAACCUCGGCAAUGGGGGCAACCCUGGCCGAGCAACGCCGCGGGAGGGAAGAAGGUUUUCGGGUCGGAAAGCUCUGGUGUAAGGCAAGAAAGGGUGGGAGAGGGGAAAGUGCACACUGUGACGGUAGCUAACCAGAAAGGGACGGCUAACUACGUG